GACGAACGCUGGCGGCGUGCUUAACACAUGCAAGUCGAACGGAAAGGCCCUGCUGUUGUGGGGUGCUCGAGUGGCGAACGGGUGAGUAACAUGUGAGUAACCUUCCCUUGACGUUGGGAUAACUUCAGGAAACUGGGGCUAAUACCGGAUAGGAGCUCCUGCUGCAUGGUGGGGGCUGGAAAGUUUCGGCGGAUGGGGAUGGACUCGCGGCUUAGGAGCUUGUUGAGGGAGUAGUGGCUUACCAAGGCGUUGACGGGUAGCCGGCCUGAGAGGGUGACCGGCAAAAUUGGCAGUGAGAUACGGCAGAGAGUACUACGGGAGGCAGCAGUGUGGAAUAUUGCACAAUGCGCGGAAGCCGGAUGCAGCAACGCCGCGUGAGGGAUUACGGCCUGCGGGUGGUAAACCGCUUUCGCCUGUGACGAAGAGAGAGUGACGGUAAUGGGUAAAGAAGCACCGGCUAACUACGUG
rnacentral:rRNA from 1 species